GAUGAACGCUGGCGGCGUGCUUAACACAUGCAAGUCGAACGAGAAGUGGAGACGGAAACCUUCGGGCGGAAGACUUUACUUCGAGUGGCGGACGGGUGAGUAACGCGUGGGUAAUCUGCCUCAUACAGGGGGAUAACAGUUGGAAACGACUGUUAAUACCGCAUAAGACCACAGCACCGCAUGGUGCGGGGGUAAAAACUCCGGUGGUAUGAGAUGGACCCGCGUUCGAUUAGCCAGUUGGCGGGGUAACGGCCCACCAAAGCGACGAUCGAUAGCCGAUCUGAGAGGAUGACCGGCCACAUUGGGACUGAGACACGGCCCAAACUCCUACGGGAGGCAGCAGUGGGGAAUAUUGCACAAUGGGGGAAACCCUGAUGCAGCGACGCCGCGUGAGUGAAGAAGUAUUUCGGUAUGUAAAGCUCUAUCAGCAGGGAAGAAAAUGACAGUACCUGAGUAAGAAGCCCCGGCUAACUACGUG
rnacentral:rRNA from 1 species